AUUACUGAGUGAGGGCCCUCUGGGUCCAACCUCCCACCCGUGUUUAUUAUACCUUGUUGCUUCGGCGGGCCCGCCGUAAGGCCGCCGGGGGGCUUCUGCUCCCGGGCCCGCGCCCGCCGAAGACAUCUCGAACUCUGUCUGAAGAUUGUAGUCUGAGUAUAAAUAUAAAUUAUUUAAAACUUUCAACAACGGAUCUCUUGGUUCCGGCAUCGAUGAAGAACGCAGCGAAAUGCGAUACGUAAUGUGAAUUGCAGAAUUCAGUGAAUCAUCGAGUCUUUGAACGCACAUUGCGCCCUCUGGUAUUCCGGAGGGCAUGCCUGUCCGAGCGUCAUUGCUGCCCUCAAGCACGGCUUGUGUGUUGGGCCCCGUCCUCCGAUCCCGGGGGACGGGCCCGAAAGGCAGCGGCGGCACCGCGUCCGGUCCUCGAGCGUAUGGGGCUUUGUCACCCGCUCUGUAGGCCCGGCCGGCGCUUGCCGAUCAACCAAAAAUUUUUUCCAGGUUGACCUCGGAUCAGGUAGGGAUACCCGCUGAACUUAAGCAUAUCAAA
rnacentral:rRNA from 1 species